UUCCAGAGAAGGAACGGGACUGUGACUGGGCAGGCGAUUGCAGAAGGAAGUGACGAAUCAGGAAGUAUGAUGGGGUUUGAAGAAGAUUGCGGGAGAACCAGGCGCGUAUGGAACAUAGUAAGAUCGAGAAAACGGGGGGAAAGGAAAAGAGAAUGUCUAACACAGAGGAAACAGAUAGCGAGCAAAGUGUUAGCUUAGCAAAAAAAAAAAAAACAGGAAGAGGAACACAAAGUAAUCAUAAAAUUAUCCGGAGUCCGGUUCAGCUAACAAAAUCGAUAGACAAACUAUUGGGUGAGGUCAAAAGUGCUAAAAUAUUUAGAAGUGGAUCUCUACUGAUAAUUUGUAAAAAAAAAUAAUAAUAAUAAAAAAUAAAUAAAUAAAUAAAUAAUAAAUAAAAUAAAGCCCAGCAAGAGAAAGCCAUGCAACUGAAUAAAGCAGAUGGUAAGAGAGUUCACUGUUCGGUGAUUGGAUAUAUAAAAAAAAUGGAUUCGAGGAGUCAUCUCAGAGAUACCUACAGGUGUUAUAGGGGAACAAAUAAAAGACAAUAUCUCAGGGGCAAAAGUACUAGAAGCAAAACGUCUUUAAAAAACUAGAAAUGGGGAGAAAUGCGACAGCUUAACUGUGAUGAUUAAGUUUGACAACUCUAGACUGCCAAGUAAGGUGUACAUAGGAUAUAUGAGCUAUGAGGUCAGGCCAUAUAUUCCUCCACCACUGAGAUGCUUUAAAUGCUAAAAAUAUGGCCAUGUAGCAGCAAUAUGUAAGGGCAAACAGAGAUGUGGUAGGUGUGCAGGCGAACAUGAGUACGGGAAGUGUGGAGAAAGAGUAAAGCUCAAAUGCUGCAACUGUGGAGGAGAGCACAGCUCAGCUUACCAUGGCUGUGAAGCCAGCAAGAAGGCAGUGGAGGUGCAACAGAUGAAGACAUUGCAAGGAAUAACGUAUGCGGAAGCAGUAAAGAAAGUGUCUGGUGAAAGGAAGAACUAUAAACCAGAAAAUAAAGAUAGACCUUGUGGGGGCUGUGAAAAGAUUGCAGUAAGGAAAGAUAUGCUAAUUAUGAGCAAGAAAGAAUUUGUUUUUUUUAUGGUUGAGGUUAUAAAUUGCUCAGCACAGACUGAGAGAAAGACUGAAAAGAUCAAAAUAAUAAUUAAAUCAGCUGAAAAAUACUUUGGUAUUAAAGGAUUCAGCAGUGAAGGAGUGGAAGAAAUGUUAACUGUAUAUAUUUCACAUUUAAACGUCUGAUCACAAGAUGUGGGGCCCUAGCCGCAGGAUCAUCAGGGAGCUCCAUAUCCUUUGGUGUUACAGACCUGGUACAGGCAGGAUCCAGGACUUUUGUGCCUCCAACUCUAAUCAGGCAAGAUGAGGAGAUAGAAAAUAUGUGCAUGGACCAUUACUUUGUUCUCCCAAAUCAGGAAGACCUGGCAACCCUGGACAACAUACUUGUAUACAUUGGAGGUUGGGUGGUUGGGAAGGCGCUGCUGAAAGUCUCAUGCUCCACCUGCAGGGUGGCACUCAUGCCUUCAGAACCACCUCCAAGAUACAGCUCCUCAUACUACUUUAUUCAGUUGAAGACAUGGAGGACUUAUUAUGCCAUCUGAGGGAGUCGUUACCAUAGUGAGAGCUGUAGAAAUGCAUCUCGAAGAACUAACAGACAGCAAUGUCCUACCGAGGAAGAGUGUCUUCUCCGUUUCAUCAACCGUUUAAACCUGUUACCAUAGACACACUGUGUGUAGCUGUUACUAUCCUACAUGUAGGCCUAUAUAUGAUAUGCUAGCCCAUGACUAGCCAUAUAUCUAUGCUAUUAAAUACACACAGAUAUACACAUGAAACAAUCGUCUGUAUAAAGUGCAUACACAUUUAAAGUCCUUGACUAUAAAUCGUAUGAAGCUCUUGUAUAUGUACAUUCACAGUCCAUUUUACUAAGUACACCUGCAUCAACACAGUGCAUAAAAUCAUGCAGGUAUAGGUCAAGAGCUUCAGUUAAUGUUCCCAUCAAACAUGAGAAUGAAGAAAAUUGUGAUCUCAGUGAGUUUAACAGCAGCAGGAUUGUUGGUAUCAGAUGGGCUGGUUUGAGGAUUUCAGAAACUACUGAUCUCCUGGGUAUUUCAAACACAUCAACCUCUACAGUUUACACAGAAUGGUAUGAAAUAACAUCCUGAAUGAGUGAGAGCAGAGGAGACUGGCCAGACUGGUUUGAGCUGACAGGAAGUCAAUAGCACUCUUUACAACCGUGCUGAGCAGAAAUCUCAUUUAAACUUGAGGUGGAUGGGUUACAGCAGCAGAAGACCACAUCAGGUUUCACUCCUGGUAGCAAAGAAGAAGAAACUGAGGCUAUCAUGGGCAGAGACUCAUUGAAACUGGACAGGUGAAGACAAGUAAUUUUUUUUCAUAAGCUUCAACUGUCCAAUUUUGGUGUAGACUCAUGUUCUUGGCUGACAGGAGUCAAACCUGAUGUGGUCUUGUACUGUUGUAGCCCACCCACCAUAAGGUUAGAUGUUUUGUGCGUUCUGAGAUGCUUUUCUGCUCAUCAAGGUUCUAAACAGUGCUAAUUUGAGUUACUAUAGACUUCCUGGCACCUCUUGUACAUCAUGUGUAUGAUUUUAUGUACUGUGCUUCUGCCACAUGUAUGGCCAAUUAGAUAACUGCGUGAAUAAGCAGGUGUAAAGUUGUUCCUAGUAAAGUGGAUGGUGAGUGUAUAUACCACUGACCACCGACACAUAUACCUGAUUAUUCAUGCAGUUAUUUAAUCAGCCAAACAUGUGGCAGAAGCGCAGUGCAUAAAAUUAUGCUCAUACUGUACAAGAGCUUGAGCUAAUUUACAGAAAAAAUGAUAUUUUCUUAGUUACAUGUUUUUUGGUAGUAGGCGGUCUGGUUUGAGUAUUUCAUUUGCUGGUCUCCUGGGAUUUUCAUGCACAACAGUCUCUAGAGUCUAUACAGAUUGGUCAAAAUAAAUAAAUCCAAAACCAUCCAGUGAGCUGGGCGGAAGCAUCUUGUUGAUGAGAGACGUCAGAGGUGAAUGGCGCCUGGUCUUUUUCCAAUCAACUGUCUAAUUUGGUGAGCCUAUGCUCAAUAUAGCCUCAUAUUCCUGUUUUAGGAUGAGGUACCUGAUGUGGUUUUCUCCUCCUGUUGUGUUCCAUUCACCUCAAAGUUUGAUGUUACUUCUUGUCAGCUCAAACCAAUCUGACCAUUCUUCUCUGACCUCUCUCAUCAGUGAGGCAUGUCCCCCUGCAGAGAUGCUGCUCACUUAAAUUGAACAUUAAUUGAAGUUCUUGUCCUAUAACUGGUGCAUUUUGGUGUAUAUAUUUUCAUGAAUGACAGAUGUACUUGAUCCAAUAAAGUGGUCUCUAAGUGUAUAACACAAUGACAGAGUACACUUAUAAAAGGGUCACAAGUUCAUGUUGUGGCAUGCCAAAUAGUCUUCUAACUUAAGGAUAUGGUGACAGUCUAGCUUACAUUUGGGAUAAGAAAUUGGUCUGAUUUUUGGAUGACAUUCAAUUAUACAGUUUGCUACAGCACAUGCUAGUCUACUAAAGAAAGCAGGAGUACCUCAACAAGUAUUAUAAAAAUAAAGCACUGGGGACUUGUCAAAAACCUCACAUUCAGGAAAACACUACAAAUUUAGGCUAAUCAAAUAAUCAAAAUUUUCCACUUUGCCAAUGCUCCCUAUAUCUACAUUGAGUUAGCUCUGUGAGUGAUCACUCUUCAUGGGCCUACAUUCCAUUCAUAUUACCAUCCUCUUUGAAAGAUCUAUGCCUGAUGAUACCUUCACCACAUGGAAGUAUGUUUUUAAUCUGGGCUGUGAUAAUUGAAUUAUGUACCCAGUUUAAUUGGCUCUGCAGACCUCACCUUUCUCCAUCUGAGCAUGCUGUAUAUCUAAGAAUAUUCUCUUUGCUGCACUGUUAUCUGAUUGACAUUCCAUGUUCCUUGUCCUAUAUGUAGACACAUUUUUUGUACUUCUUGUUUAGUUGUUUUUCUCCCUGUGUGAGUGUGUGUGAGGUUUCUGGUGAGUGCUCUGUGUGAAUCUGAAGGGUAUGGUAUUAACUGUCAUGCUGUUCUUCCUAGAGCUAUUUUGCAUUCUGUCUGGUUGGGUGGAAAUGUAGCUCUUCAGCACUUCGAUUAUCACUGUUGGGUCUUAUGUAUGGCUGGGAUUCUGCAACACGUUUGCUAAAUAAAUAAUUGUGUGUAAACAAUCAGCACAUUUUUUGUAUAGUACAGUAAAGGUCAUAUCAUCUUUAUUGGUGUCAAUGCCACUAACAAUACUUUGUUACAUAUAGUUAUGAAAAAAAGGUAUACAAAAGCAUACAAAUGAGUACAAAAGUAUAAAAAAUAAAGUCAUGGAGUACUUCUCAAAAAUGCUCCAAAAUGGACUUUGUAUAAAAUGUACUGUUAAUAUGUACGUUUUCAGUGCUUAUGUGUUUUUAUUUUACCAAACAGCAAGAAGAACUUUAAAGAACAACUAUAUAAGAUGUUAAGACCUAAAAAAUAUUAAAACACUACCAUAUAAAGUCUACAAAAUGUGAAAAGUAGGUAGUACUUGUACUAUUUUUACAUAGACCUACAUUUUGGGCUAUUAGAAGUUUGUAGUUGUCAUUUUGUAAUGCAAAUAUAAGUGAUAGAAAACUUCUAUCUCACAUGAUAUACUAAAACAAAGAUAUUUCAGCAUACUGUCUUACAAACAGUUAACAUCAUAUUCAAGCUUUAAUUCUGGACAGUAGUCAUUCUGAAGCAUGUAUAUCUAUAGCUUAGGUAUGAAUUUCUAUUUUAAUUUCUAAAGCAAUCAAAAAGG